rnacentral:rRNA from 1 species
CGGGACGGGUGAGUAACGCGUGGGUAACCUGCCUCAUACAGGGGGAUAACAGUUGGAAAUGGCUGCUAAUACCGCAUAAGACCACAGUACUGCAUGGUACAGUGGUAAAAACUCCGGUGGUAUGAGAUGGACCCGCGUCUGAUUAGGUAGUUGGUGAGGUAACGGCCCACCAAGCCGACGAUCAGUAGCCGACCUGAGAGGGUGACCGGCCACAUUGGGACUGAGACACGGCCCAG